GGGUGAUUAGCUCAGUUGGUAGAGCAGCUGACUCUUAAUCAGCGGGUCGUAGGUUCGAACCCUACAUCACCCACCA
rnacentral:tRNA from 92 species